GGGGUCGUGGCGUAGCCAGGAAGCGCGGCGGGCUCCAGGACCCGCCAGUCGUGGGUUCAAAUCCCACCGGCCCCA
rnacentral:tRNA from 1 species